rnacentral:rRNA from 1 species
ACGAACGUUAGCGGUGUGGAUUAGGCAUGCAAGUCGAGCGCGAAAGUCUUCGGACAAGUAAAGCGGCGAAAGGGUGAGUAACACGUAACCAACCUACCCCUGAGAUCGGAAUAACCGCUGGAAACGGCGGACAAUGCCGAAUGGUCCUCUAGGAAGGCAUCUUCUCAUAGGUAAACGGUGGCUUCGGCUGCUGCUCGGGGAGGGGGUUGCGGCCUAUCAGCUUGUUGGCGGGGUAACGGCCCACCAAGGCGAUGACGGGUAGCCGGUCUGAGAGGAUGGUCGGCCACACUGGGGACUGAGACACUGCCCAGACUCCUACGGGAGGCUGCAGUCGAGAAUCUUCCGCAAUGGGCGAAAGCCUGACGGAGCGACACCGCGUGCAGGAUGAA